GAUGAAGAACGCAGCGAAAUGCGAUAAGUAGUGUGAAUUGCAGAAUUCAGUGAAUCAUCGAAUCUUUGAACGCACAUUGCGGCCAUAGGUAUUCCUUUGGCCAUGCCUGUUCGAGCGUCAUUUACACCCUCAAGCCUAGCUUGGUGUUGGGCGUCUGUCCCGCCGUUUUCGCGCGCGGACUCGCCUCAAAGUCAUUGGCGGCGGUCGUGCCGGCCCCCUCGCGCAGCACAUUUGCGCUUCUCGGAGGCCCGGCGGAUCCGCGCUCCAGCAAGACCUUUCACGACUUGACCUCGGAUCAGGUAGGAAUACCCGCUGAACUUAAGCAUAUCAAUAAGCGGAGGA
rnacentral:misc_RNA from 1 species